rnacentral:rRNA from 1 species
CCUACGGGCGGCAGCAGUAGGGAAUUUUCGGCAAUGGGGGGAACCCUGACCGAGCAACGCCGCGUGAGCGAAGAAGUUAUUCGUAAUGUAAAGUUCUUUUAACAGGGAAGAAAGAGACAUUUGACGGUACCUGAAGACUAAUCUCCGGCAAACUACGUGCCAGCAGCCGCGGUAAUACGUAGGCAGCGAUCGGUAUCCGGCUUUAUUGGGCGUAAAGGGUGCGUAGAUGGCAUAGUAAGUCUUUUGUAAAAAUGCUGGGCUCAACCCAGUAGGGCAAAAGAUACUGGAAAGCUAGAGUAUGAGAGAGGCAAGUGGAAUUACAGGUGUAGCGGUAAAAUGCGUAAAUAUAUGGAAGAACACCAGUGGCGAAGGCGGCUUGCUGGGUCGAUACUGACAUUGAGGCACGAAAGCGUGGGGAGCAAACAGGAUUAGAUACCCCGGUAGUC